rnacentral:rRNA from 1 species
GGAGUUAAGAAAUGUAGAUUCGCUAAUAUCGGGUCUAUUUGACGAAGGCUCCAAAGGGAGCCACGGCUAACUCUGUGCCAGCAGCCGCGGUAAUACAGAGGUGGCAAGCGUUGUUCGGAAUUAUUGGGCGUAAAGAGCACGUAGGUGGAUUUGUAAGUCAGAUGUGAAAGCCUUCUGUUCAACGGGAGAAUUGCAUCUGAAACUACAGACCUUGAGUAUAGGAGGGGAGAGUG